AGAUAUUCUCAGAGGGCCUAAAGACACCAGAUCCUAUCUGAUCUUGAAAGCUAAGCAGGAUCAGUCCUGGUUAGUACUGGGAUAGGAGAUUGUCUAUGAACACCAAGUACGAUAGUUU
rnacentral:rRNA from 1 species